GCCGGCAGAGCAAAUGCAAUGUUCCCCUACACCCACCCCCAUCCAUCUCCCUCUGGAUGCUCACGGGACACCCCUGCACCCCCAGCCCCAUUGGGUGCUGGACCCCCACAGGUGACCACACAACCCUUCCAUGCCGCCCUGUGCCACAGGGCUCAGCUCACCCUUCGUUAGUGUGAUCACAUCACCACUGACAGCAGCGUAUUUAUUACUGGCCCGGCGCUGACCAUUUCUCACCCAGUGACACACAACCUGCUAACGAGCUCGGCGAGGUAAUGAGGGCUCUCGGGCAAGGGCAUCUGCUGCUCCCCCACCCAGAUGGGACCCAGCACUGUGAGGGUUUUGCUCCCACACCCCUUCGAGCCUGCACUGCCCCCAGGCAACAACCUGCACCACUGCUGCGAAACAUCAACGUGUCCACCAGCCGCUGUUUAUGUAGGACCUACAGUAACACAGCGUGCUUAGAGUUCAUCCCAAGGCAGGAAUCAGCCACAUCAAGGAUCAGCUCCAGGCUGGGACAAGGCAGCACCUCAGGCUUUGUGGCCUCGGGGAGCUGAUGGAGUGGAGAUGGGACCAGCACUGCACAGCCCCACAAGCACAGCCUCCUGCACCCUGCAGGGGACAAGGACACCACUUGUAAAGGCUCAUGAAGCCAGAGCCAGGGUCAUUCCUCGUCACACCUGUACACUCCACUUUCCUUCCUGAGCCGGAGCUUUGCACGAGGCCAGCAGCUAGCGUGGCAGCCGAGCUCACGGCGAAGGGGGAGGAAGAAAAAGCCACUCCGGCGGUCCCAAGGCUUGAUGAUGGACACCAGCCCUGAGGAUGCUUUCACGGAUAAAGACACCUUCACAAAGCCAAGGGAACCACUGCCCUUGGUCACACCCCGGGAAGGGGCAGGGACCCGUCCCCUCCAGCCCUGCUCCACGGCACACGCAGACGUGCCCAGGGACCACACGUGGCUGCCAGAAGGCUCUGUACCUCCCACGCCAGCCCCUAAUAAGCCUCUUUGGCUGAAGCUGCCCAUCUCAGGCCCCUGCCCCAAAUCCCGUCUGGAACCUUAAGCCUCCCAAAUCCCUCCUGGGACUUGAUGCAGCCUCCUCAAUCCCAUUAUGGGCGCUGUGCUGGUGCAGGGGGUCCUGGGCUGUGCCCCCAGCCCCAGCUGAGGGAAAACCGUGCCUCUGGGGGGCACAAAAUCUGCAGAACAAAGCAAGGGGAGGGAGGAAUGGGAACAGCACCCCCAGCUCCUGGGAACCCUCUGCUGUCUCACCGUUCUGCGAGGGUCGCACUGCGACAGCUCCAACCCACACCGCAUUCAACUCCGGGUAAUUAGCGCGAGGCCCCUAAUCAAUAAGUUAUUUUUUGCCGUGGGUAAUUAAUAAUUACACAGCGCAGGCAGGCUGUAAUUAAACUUCCAUCCCAUCUCUCCCCAGCGGUGCUAGAGUCUUUGUUUUAGCAACUGCAGGUAUUAAAAGUGUUUCAUCCUGUGCCUGGGGAGCCCGCGC
rnacentral:lncRNA from 1 species